GAUGAACGCUAGCGGCAGGCCUAACACAUGCAAGUCGAGGGAGAAGCCCUUUCGGGGGCAGAAACCGGCGCACGGGUGCGUAACGCGUAUGCAACCUACCUUUCACAGGGGGAUAGCCCGAAGAAAUUUGGAUUAAUACCCCAUAAUAUUAUUGGAUGGCAUCAUUUGAUAAUUAAAACUGCGGUGGUGAAAGAUGGGCAUGCGUCCUAUUAGCUAGUUGGAGUGGUAACGGCACCCCAAGGCUACGAUAGGUAGGGGUCCUGAGAGGGAGAUCCCCCACACUGGUACUGAGACAGGGACCAGACUGCUACGGGAGGCAGCAGUGAGGAAUAUUGGUCAAUGGUCGGAAGACUGAACCAGCCAUGCCGCGUGCAGGAAGAAUGCCUUAUGGGUUGUAAACUGCUUUUAUAUGGGAAGAAUAAGGCGUACGUGUACGUUGAUGACGGUACCAUAUGAAUAAGCAUCGGCUAACUCCGUG
rnacentral:rRNA from 1 species